rnacentral:lncRNA from 1 species
ACUCACUAGCCUGUGGCGCUGUAAUUGGAAGGUGCUGGAACCUUGGAACCGCGGAAGAGCCUUGUGGGAGCUCUUCCAACCAUUGGCCCAAGAAAGGAGUAUUGAGACACAGCCCUCCCUCUUUCUUUUCCUGUCCCAGCCAUGAGUAACAGAAACCUGACUGAUGCAGCAUGCUUCUGUCUUACAGGAUAGGACAUCAGAUUGGAACACAAGUGCUCCACAAUGUGCUGUCUUCCCUAGAGGUGGUCAAUAUGAAGCACAUGAGAAAAGGAUUGGUUAGACACAUACAAAGCUAUAAGCCAAGAAGAGGAAAGGGUUUAAAAGAAAAAGGGACAGUUAAGACCAGACAAAAAGACAAGGAAAAGCAGAAUGAAGGAAGGAAUAAGAAAAGAAGAUAUAGGUGGAAAUAGAGAAGUAACAAUGAUUAAAAUAUAUUGAAGCUUUACCAUUUGCCAGGCAUUAUAAAUGCUUUCCACAAAUUACAGUGUGUAAGCCUCAUAAUGUGAGGAAUCUUCUACUAUUUUUCCCACUCAACAGAAAAGAAAAAUGAUGUUUAGAGAGAUACACAGACGUGUUGAAGGUCAUAGAACUAGUGAGGGGAAAACCAGGGAUUUAAAUCCAUGCCUUUCUUAACUCCUAACAUGUACUUCACCUUAUGCUCAAGGGACAAUGUCGUGUGCUUAGUUCAUAUCAACAGCUUAAAUGCAUAAUAUGUGCUCUUAACCUCUGAGCUGGAGUCACAGGCUUUGUGAGAUUGCCGUCUCUCUGUCCUGGUGGAAGAGCAAGCCAGUAAACAUGGAAUACUGCCACGGUAAUCAGAGUGAGUAGAGGUCCCAUGGACCUGGGAUUCCAGAGACUUUAUUUUCAUUCAUUCCGCAUUAAUUGGACAGCAGGAUAUGAAGUUGAAUAAAUCCAAAUUAUUGUUCUUGAAAAUAUCAUAGCUUUUAAGGAGAUUAAAAGUUUCAUAUUACUCACUCCUGAAUGAGCUGCAGGGAUCUGUCAAGUGUUUCCUUCUGGUUGAUUCUUCUUUCUGCGAUGACUGCAGCUUUUACUACAUAAUAUUUUAAUGACAAAUAAAAGAAUAGUCUACUAAAUAAGUGACUUAUUGCUUCGUAGCAAUUCUAAGUACUUAACAUUACAUGGUAAUGUGCUUAUCUGUCUUUAUCCAUGGACCCAGAACAAGUACAUAUAAAAUAUUUUUUACUACAAGAAUAGAUGGAAGUUUUAAAGAACUUUAUUAAUUUUUUUGGUACCAGGGAUCGAACUCAGGACCUUGCGCUUGCCAGGCAGGCGGCGGCACCACUGAGCUAAAUCCCUAACUGAAAGAACUUUGCAAACCAGAAAUUCUCAUUUUUCAGUAAUAUACAUACAGUUCUUUUAAAAAAAUUAACCCCAACAUGCUAUAUUUAAAGUCCUUACUUUCAAAAAUUGUUUCCUCCCUUUAAAAGGUGCUUGUUUUGACCCCUUAAGUAGGAAUUCUUGGCCUCAUAUGGGCACUCAAAUUUUCAGUUCCUACCCUGAAAAGAAUGUAACACACACACCAUAAAGUCAGUAAAUGUCCAAAUAUGGAAUACCUUCCAUUCCCUAAAUUAUCUUUUGAUGAGAAGUAGUUUAGAUAAUGAUAAAACCAUAGUUUACUCAUGGAUAGUGCCACUGUAAUCUCAGGCUGAGAAAGAAGGAUCAGGGAGAGUUCCAGGCCAGCCUAGGCUAUAUAGUGAGUUCAAGGUCAGUCUGAACUACAUAGCAAGACCCUAUCUCAAGAUUAAAAAAAUACAUAAAUGAAAAAACUCACAAAUAAGCAAACAAAUAAAUAAACAGAACACACCAUAGAUUGGUCAUUACAAACAUAGAGCUAUAAUGUGUAUAAUGGUCUAUGUUUCUUUUCAAAAGUUCAAGGAGAUAAGAGCCUUCGGUUUCCUAAACAUACCUGUGUGUGUUUGUUUGCUUGUUUUGCAGUAGUGGAAACCAGGGCUUUUCAAAUGCUAACCAAGCACUCAACCAUAUAGCUACACCCCAGCCUAUAUCUACCUUGUUCUCUAGUAAAUAAUGCCAAGUCCACAGCAACUCCAUGACUUCCAGUCAAAGGCCCCAUUAUAGAUUAACUUGCAGGGCACAGCGUGUAUGGCCCGAGGGAAAGUGCAGUUCAACUGGGAUGUCUGUACCAUGUCCUAAGGAAAAGUAUCAGGAGUUUCUGGAAUCCAAAAGACUGAUAACCUUCCUGUAAAUUGGCAGAUUUACAUUUAUUGCAAUGGAGAAAUUUGUCAGACAAUUGCUUAAUCUUUGUCCAAAGAGAAAGGGGAAAAUGUGUUUCAGGAAAUAGUUCUGUUCCUUCCUACUUAGCUCUGAUGAAAAAAAGAAAAAAAAAACCUCAAAACAAGAGUGCAAAAAUAUUCCUAGUUACAAAAGCAACUCUGAAAAUUUUUAAAUCCUGGGAGUUGUGUAGGCAGAAAAAGUAGUGUUCCUAUUCACUGAUUAAUAACUUUUUUAAUAGCUAGGUUAAUACAUAAAAUAUUAUCCUGAGUUCUAAUCCCUCCUCUCCAACUACCUACCUGCCUAUCCACAAGGCCAUAGGAAGAUUAUUUGCCCAUUUAGUUUCCACAAAUACUGUACAUACUUGGUCUGGAGUGCUCUUGAGUGAUAAGUGGUGCAAAAUAAUUAAUACAUUAACUGACUGACAACAUUUGCAAAAAGGACUCUGCCAGGAUAGCAAGUACUUACCUAUUCUGGGAAAUAAGUCAUCCACUGCCCACAUGAGUCAGGAAGGAGUUAGGUGACCUUUCACCAGUGAUCAUUUUCUUUGUGUAAACGUAAGUAUAACUAUGAUUAGUUCCAUUCACUUGUCCAAAAAUGUCUCUUCCACAAAGGUGCCUCUUUGGAUUGCUAUGGAUCUUUUCCUUUGGGUGUAAGAUUGUAACAAAACUUUGAUAUUUGCUUUUGACUGACUUUUAGGGGCAGUGGGUGCUGAAGACAAAAUCCAAUGCUUCACACAUGCUAAGCAUGUGCUCUAUCACUGCUCUACACCCCAGCCCUUGAAUUGGUUUGAAAGGAUUCUUUAGCAAUAAAGAGACAGUAAAGCAAAAAGUCAAGGCUGUUUUGCUGUGUGUGAAAUGGGAUAGUAAGUCCCUGCCUCACAGGUUGUCUUGAAAAUGAAAUGUAUGGAACUGGUGUAGAAAGUACAUUUAGGGGUACAGGACCACUUUCCUCCACUCACCUGAACCCAGCCAAUGCCCCAGGGCUCCUUGACCUUUCAGGGAGAGAUCAGAGAAGACAAAGACCCCUGAGCCCACCUAGAGAGAUUUCAAAGUGGAAAAACAAGAUCUGUGAGUGCCAGCUCCUCAAGCCUGACCUAUUGUAUCAGUUAGAGUUCACUAGCGUAACAGAUUUGAUGUACUUUAUUUAUUUAUUAGAUAUGCUUACAAUAGCCGCCUGUAGAGUCCUGUGUGGAAGAAUGCAAAGGGCGGUCUGCACACUGGAGAGCCAAAGAAUCCAGUCAAAGGUGAAAGACCUGAAGCUCACUGCCCAGUCCUGUUGCAGUCUGUAUCAGGAAGCUGAAGGGUCGAUGUUCAGAGGCUGAGGAGUCUGCGUGAGAAGGCUAGUAGAGACAGACAUCCAAAAGCAAUGGCAAAGAUUGGAGCUCCUCCAAAGAUGAAGAAGCAAGACUUCCUUCUUUCCCUUUUUAUUCCAUUCAGGCUACAAGCCUAUUGGCUGGUGCCACCCACCCCCAGGGUGGGUCUUUCCUCUUCAGUCAGUCCUUCAUUCAGUCACACCCAGGACUCUGCCAAGCCAGUCAGCUGGGUGUUUCUUAUUCAAAUUGACACGACAAUUAGCUAUCAUACCUAUAAUAAUUACCCAUAGUAAUUUUUCUUCACAUAGGGCUCAUUAAAGUUUCAUGCAUUUGCCAGGGAUGUAGCUCAGCAGCACAGCGCCUGCCUGGCAAGCUUGAGGUCCUGAGUUUGAUCCCCAGUGCCAUAAAUAAAUAAAUAAAUAAAUAAAUAAAUAAAUAAAUGUAUGUUGGCACAUAUGGACUGCAUCUCACACAUCUGAUUGUAACAGAGUGGAUUAUGGGAGGGGACAGGCAUCAUAGAUGCAGAUGACAUGACUCAGAAUCCUAUUGGUCACAUUGGCCAUCAUGCUCUGGAAGACCCAAUGGGAGGCAUCCUACACCAGGUACAGCAUUUUAAAUUCUUAAACCCAACACAUUUAGCAUUAACGCCAUUUUCCAUUUAACCAGUGCAAGCUCACUCACUCUGAGCAAACCAUCCCCUAAUAAAACUUCGUUAAACUUUAUUGCUUUUCUCCUUCCCAUCAUGUGCAAUUCUUUUUUUUUUUUAACGUGCAAUCCUUUAUUGCAAUUCUUUGUUUCCUUACUGUCACACACCGGAACUUAGAAACCCGUCCAGACCUCAUCAACUUGGACAAAAGAACUGAAUCUAACACUGGAAUCACUGCACGUUAGCUGUAACUUUUAGAUGUAAAAUGAUGAGACUGAACAAGAUGUUCUCUUUGGUCUCUGGGAGUUUUCAAUUUGUGAGAACCCUAGGAAUAGCACCUUAAAACUAGUUACUUUGGGUCAAAUCUAUAACAAUUUAACUGGAAAAGGGACUUAAGAGUUAGACUUAUUGAUAAGCAAUGGAAAAUACAAAAUGACAGUGGUGUAAGUAAGAUUAGGUUUUCUUUCUUUCCUCCUCCUCCUUCUCCUUCUUCCUCUUUAUAUAUAUUUUUUCACUAUAUAAGCCAGGAGGCCUUUCACCUCCCUAGGAAGCCCAGGCCGGUCUUGAAUUCUCAAUUCUGUCUCAGCUCCCCAAGUGCUGGGAUGACAGGCACAUUACACAUGCUGGACUAAAACAAUGUUUUCUUUAUGUCAUGACCUAUCAUUAUAUAACAAAUUACCCCAAAACUUAGUGGCAUAAAGGAGAAACAUUUACUGUUUCUUAGUUUAUGAGAUCCAGAAAUCCUGGGAUGGUUUGGCUGGGUGGUUCUAGCUUAAACUGCAUGCUCUGGAAACAUUUUUCCCAGAUGCAUUUGGUUUAAAAGGGUAGGUAUGUGACUCUCAGAAUCCAAACAGCCAAACAUUACUGUAAAUCCAUUUGUUUUCCCUUUUCAUGUGGGCAAUAAUGUCAAAUGUGCUAUGCAGGCAGAUUAACGUUUCAGACAAACUUAGGGCCGGGGAUUUAGCUCAGUGGUUCCGCUGCCUGCCUUGCAGGCACAAGGACCUGAGUUUGAUCCCCAGUACCCAAAAAAAAAAAAAAAAAAAAAAAAGAUUAAACAUUUUAGACAAACUUGAUUGACUUUUAAUAUAAACUGUUACAAUGCACACUGAUUGUAUAUAAAAACCUUAUAUGUGACAAAUUAAAUUUAAGAGAAAGGAAAAAAAGAAAACAAACUUAAUUUGGAUAAUUCAAGUGAGACUCUCUUCACAAUUUGCAACCUAAAAUAUUGAAAUCCUUUCCCUCAAGAGUAUUCUAAAAUUGUAUCGGUC